rnacentral:rRNA from 1 species
GAUGAACGCUAGCGGCAGGCUUAAUACAUGCAAGUCGAACGGUAAGUGUUGUAGCAAUAUAACACCAAGAGUGACGUACGGGUGCGUAACACGUAUGCAACCUACCCUUUACAGGAGGAUAGCUCGGGGAAACUCGAAUUAACCCUCCAUAAUAUAAUUGGAUGGCAUCAUUUGAUUAUUAAAACUCAGGUGGUAACGGAUGGGCAUGCGUCUGAUUAGUUAGUUGGCGGGGUAAUGGCCCACCAAGACGAUGAUCAGUAGGGGACCUGAGAGGGUGAUCCCCCACACUGGCACUGAGAUACGGGCCAGACUCCUACGGGAGGCAGCAGUAGGGAAUAUUGGUCAAUGGAUGCAAGUCUGAACCAGCCAUGCCGCGUGCAGGAAGAAGGCCUUCUGGGUUGUAAACUGCUUUUGCCAGGGGAUAAAAUGUCUGUGCGCAGAUAAUUGAAGGUACCUGGUGAAUAAGCCACGGCUAACUACGUGCCAGCCGCCGCAGUAAGAC